rnacentral:rRNA from 1 species
GAUGAACGCUGGCGGCGUGCCUAAUACAUGCAAGUCGAGCGAACAGACGAGGAGCUUGCUCCUCUGACGUUAGCGGCGGACGGGUGAGUAACACGUGGAUAACCUACCUAUAAGACUGGGAUAACUUCGGGAAACCGGAGCUAAUACCGGAUAAUAUAUUGAACCGCAUGGUUCAAUAGUGAAAGACGGUUUUGCUGUCACUUAGAGAUGGAUCCGCGCCGCAUUAGCUAGUUGGUAAGGUAACGGCUUACCAAGGCAACGAUGCGUAGCCGACCUGAGAGGGUGAUCGGCCACACUGGAACUGAGACACGGUCCAGACUCCUACGGGAGGCAGCAGUAGGGAAUCUUCCGCAAUGGGCGAAAGCCUGACGGAGCAACGCCGCGUGAGUGAUGAAGGUCUUCGGGUCGUAAAACUCUGUUAUUAGGGAAGAACAAAUGUGUAAGUAACUAUGCACGUCUUGACGGUACCUAAUCAGAAAGCCACGGCUAACUACGUG